rnacentral:rRNA from 1 species
CCUACGGGAGGCUGCAGUGAGGAAUAUUGGUCAAUGGACGAGAGUCUGAACCAGCCAAGUAGCGUGAAGGAUGACUGCCCUAUGGGUUGUAAACUUCUUUUGUCAAGGGACAAAAUCAGGCUCGAGAGCCUGACCGAGGGUACUUGAAGAAAAAGCAUCGGCUAACUCCGUGCCAGCAGCCGCGGUAAUACGGAGGAUGCGAGCGUUAUCCGGAUUUAUUGGGUUUAAAGGGUGCGUAGGCGGACUGUUAAGUCAGCGGUAAAAGCCCGGGGCUCAACCCCGGCGAGCCGUUGAAACUGGCUGUCUUGAGAUGUCGAGAGGUAUGCGGAAUGCGCAGUGUAGCGGUGAAAUGCUUAGAUAUUGCGCAGAACUCCGAUUGCGAAGGCAGCAUACCGGCGGCGAUCUGACGCUGAGGCACGAAAGCGUGGGUAUCGAACAGGAUUAGAUACCCUUGUAGUC